UACCAGCACCCCGAGUGGUCGGGACGUUUAUUGGGCCUAAAGCAUCCGUAGCCGGUUCUACAAGUCUUCCGUUAAAUCCAUCUGCUUAACAGAUGGGCUGCGGAAGAUACUAUAGAGCUAGGAGGCGGGAGAGGCAAGCGGUACUCGAUGGGUAGGGGUAAAAUCCGUUGAUCCAUUGAAGACCACCAGUGGCGAAGGCGGCUUGCCAGAACGCGCUCGACGGUGAGGGAUGAAAGCUGGGGGAGCAACCAGGG
rnacentral:rRNA from 1 species